CAGUGUCAAUCUGCUGAGGGCAAAUGAAAUGAAUGUGACUGUCAAUGCCGCCAGCGGUGACAAUCAUGCCUUCUCCGGCCACUACCUCGGUGCCGGGGCCAAUAAUGAUGUCGACAUUGUCUUGAAUGUAGGGGUUGCCUGCUUUACCAAUUUUGUCGAUUUUGCCGUCUCUAAUGCCGAUGUCAGCUUUGACAAUGCCCCACCAGUCCAAAAUUAGCGCGUUGGUGAUGACCAUAUCCACUGCGCCCGCGUCGCGUCCGAUCGGCGACUGCCCCAUACCGUCACGG
rnacentral:sRNA from 1 species